AAGUCGUAACAAGGUUUCCGUAGGUGAACCUGCGGAAGGAUCAUUAUCGAGUUAGGGUCUUCUAGGCCCGAUCUCCAACCCUGUGUCUAUUAUACCACGUUGCUUCGGCGGGCCCGUCUCACGACCGCCGGAGGGUGAUUACCACCCUCUGGCCCGCGCCCGUCGAUGGCCUAAUCUAAAACUCUGUAUAACUGUGUUUGUCUGAGUAAACCAAAAAAUAAAUAAAAACUUUCAACAACGGAUCUCUUGGUUCUG
rnacentral:misc_RNA from 1 species